rnacentral:lncRNA from 1 species
CUCUUGACUUUCAAAUUCAAAGUCGGCUUCCAAGGACUCUGGUUUGGGCUACUGUCAGCGCAGAUCUCCUGUGUGUGUUUGAUGGUAUACACAUUGAUCCACACAGACUGGAAACUUCAGGCUAAGAGGGCUGACGAGCUGACUCUCGCUGCAGGAGAUGGGGAAGAUUUAGAGAGUGGAUUAAUUAGCAGCGAAAACUAAAAAUUAAGAUGCCUCAAAGACAACAUUUUGACAGGUUCAGAGGUAGACUAAAACAUACAAACCAGUACAAAACAUCCCUUCUGACAAGAAAUUGCUGGGUCAUUGAUGUUCUUGACUAUGGGGGAAACAAAAAAAAAAAAAAAAUUGCUGAAUCACUCUGUUACAGAUCCCUGAAUGAUUUUUUUUUUUUAAUUAGUGAUCAACAAAGCAGAAGCAUUCUUUCAUUCGAAAUUUGCAAAAGACUAUUAUUUAUCAUUUCCUGAAUGUGUGCAGAAAAUUGUUAGUGCACUUAGAAAAUUAGUUUUACAAAAGAGAGAUGUCCAUCUUAUAUUAACACACCAGACCACCAAAGAAUUAAUGGAAAAGAUCAGUGCAUGCAAAUUUGUAGGACCAGUCCAUAAUCUUCGAUGGAAGAAGAUUGGAUUGAUUUAACACACCAGACCACCAAAGAAUUAUUUCUUUUUCUUUUUUUUUUUGGUGGAGUCUGCUCGACACAUUCACCAUUUUAACGGAACUUUAGCAUAAUUCUAACUAAUCAAAUCAGACCAUUGACAAUUUGACAGACAGCGUGGAAACACCAAAUCCAUUCCAUUUUUUAACAUACGAAACUAAAUUGACAUUGAAAGCGAAUUAGAUAAAGAAAUUUAGAUUACCUCAGAUCUCUUCCGCCCUCCAACCUCUCACAGUCAUGAUUUUUUUUCCCUUUUUUUUUUUUUUAAUUUUUCAUUUUGGGGUCUGAAUAUAAACAUUCAACUUCGCGCUUUUGCUAGUUUGGUUGCUGGCUUGCUCGCAUCUCCCCCUUCAGCCUCCACUCUCCACAGCAAGCUUUAUUCCUUUGUGAAAUUACAAAAGGACCCCUGAGUUGUUUUGGGUAAGGAGUUUCUUGCAUAAUUAAAGUACUUUAUCUUAUAGUCACCGCAUCAUCGGAUGAUUCGAUUUUGUUUAACCAUUCGAUGGAAUUAGGUUAUGGGUGAGACAUUGUAGAUGGAUCUACUAUUUAUAUAAUUAGGGUACAAUACUUUACACUCUAAGCACCGUCAAAUGGUCUGAUUUUAUUAACUUUUCGACAAUCUGACGAUGUUUAAUUUGAAAGUUAAUUAGAUAAUGUUAU